rnacentral:rRNA from 1 species
UACGUAGGGACCAAGCGUUGUUCGGAUUUACUGGGCGUAAAGGGCGCGUAGGCGGCUUGUCAAGUCACUUGUGAAAUCUCUGGGCUUAACCCAGAACGGCCAAGUGAAACUGACAUGCUAGAGUGCAGAAGGGGCAAUCGGAAUUCUUGGUGUAGCGGCGAAAUGCGUAGAUAUCAGGAGGAACACCGAUGGCGAAGGCAGGUCUCUGGGCCAUAACUGACGCUGAGAAGCGAAAGCAUGGGGAGCGAACAGG